rnacentral:rRNA from 1 species
AUGCAAGUCGAACGAUGAAGCCCUUCGGGGUGGAUUAGUGGCGAACGGGUGAGUAACACGUGGGCAAUCUGCCCUUCACUCUGGGACAAGCCCUGGAAACGGGGUCUAAUACCGGAUAACACUCCUCAGGGCAUCUUGAGGGGUUAAAAGCUCCGGCGGUGAAGGAUGAGCCCGCGGCCUAUCAGCUUGUUGGUGGGGUAAUGGCCUACCAAGGCGACGACGGGUAGCCGGCCUGAGAGGGCGACCGGCCACACUGGGACUGAGACACGGCCCAGACUCCUACGGGAGGCAGCAGUGGGGAAUAUUGCACAAUGGGCGAAAGCCUGAUGCAGCGACGCCGCGUGAGGGAUGACGGCCUUCGGGUUGUAAACCUCUUUCAGCAGGGAAGAAGCGCAAGUGACGGUACCUGCAGAAGAAGCGCCGGCUAACUACGUGCCAGCAGCCGCGGUAAUACGUAGGGCGCAAGCGUUGUCCGGAAUUAUUGGGCGUAAAGAGCUCGUAGGCGGCUUGUCACGUCGGAUGUGAAAGCCCGGGGCUUAACCCCGGGUCUGCAUUCGAUACGGGCUAGCUAGAGUGUGGUAGGGGAGAUCGGAAUUCCUGGUGUAGCGGUGAAAUGCGCAGAUAUCAGGAGGAACACCGGUGGCGAAGGCGGAUCUCU